rnacentral:rRNA from 1 species
UACGUAGGGUGCAAGCGUUGUCCGGAAUUAUUGGGCGUAAAGAGCUCGUAGGCGGUCUGUCGCGUCUGCUGUGAAAACCUAGGGCUUAACUCUGGGCGUGCAGUGGGUACGGGCAGGCUAGAGUGCGGUAGGGGAGACUGGAAUUCCUGGUGUAGCGGUGAAAUGCGCAGAUAUCAGGAGGAACACCGGUGGCGAAGGCGGGUCUCUGGGCCGAUACUGACGCUGAGGAGCGAAAGCGUGGGAGCGAACAGG